GAUGAACGCUGGCGGCGUGCUUAACACAUGCAAGUCGAACGGUGAAGGCGGAGCUUGCUCUGCUGGAUCAGUGGCGAACGGGUGAGUAACACGUGAGCAAUCUGCCCCUGACUCUGGGAUAAGCGCUGGAAACGGCGUCUAAUACUGGAUACGAGCUGCGAAGGCAUCUUCAGCAGCUGGAAAGAAUUUCGGUCAGGGAUGAGCUCGCGGCCUAUCAGCUUGUUGGUGAGGUAAUGGCUCACCAAGGCGUCGACGGGUAGCCGGCCUGAGAGGGUGACCGGCCACCAGGGGACUAAGAGACGGACCAGACUCGAACGGUAGGCAGCAGUGGGGAAUAUUGCACAGUGGGCGAAAGCCUGAUGAAGAAACGCCGGGUGAGGGAAGCCGGCCUUCGGGUUGUAAACCUCUUUUAGCAGGGAAGAAGCGAAAGUGACGGUACCUGAAGAAAAAGCGCCGGCUAACUACGUG
rnacentral:rRNA from 1 species